rnacentral:rRNA from 1 species
GAUGAACGCUGGCGGCGUGCCUAAUACAUGCAAGUCGAGCGAACAGACGAGGAGCUUGCUCCUCUGACGUUAGCGGCGGACGGGUGAGUAACACGUGGAUAACCUACCUAUAAGACUGGGAUAACUUCGGGAGACCGGAGCUAAUACCGGAUAAUAUAUUGAACCGCAUGGUUCAAUAGUGAAAGACGGUUUUGCUGUCACUUAUAGAUGGAUCCGCGCCGCAUUAGCUAGUUGGUAGGUAACGGCUUACCAAGGCGACGAUGCGUAGCCGACCUGAGAGGGUGAUCGGCCACACUGGAACUGAGACACGGUCCAGACGCCUACGGGAGGCAGCAGUAGGGAAUCUUCCGCAAUGGGCGAAAGCCUGACGGAGCAACGCCGCGUGAGUGAUGAAGGUCUUCGGAUCGUAAAACUCUGUUAUUAGGGAAGAACAAAUGUGUAAGUAACUAUGCACGUCUUGACGGUACCUAAUCAGAAAGCCACGGCUAACUACGUG